GAGACUCCUGGGGAUGGGGGAGCCUGGUGGGCUGCCGUCUAUGGGGUCGCACAGAGUCAGACACGACUGAAGUGACUUAGCAGUAGCAGCAGAUUAGCUUCUAGUUUCUGGCCUUUUCCUGGGGCACUUGGGAGAAGCAGAGAGAGAUUCAGACUAUUUCAUGAGCCUGUUGUUACUGAAGGGACCUUGGCUGGAUCUCUUUUUUGGGGGCAAAAUUAACAAAAGGAAGAGAAGCUUGUUCAACAAAGCCUGAAAAUUGGCCAGCGUUGCAUGAAUACUACUGAAAGCCUGGUGGUGUUCUGCUAACAAUCACACAGAAGCCCGAUGAAAUUACGAGGGUGCUUAAGCGCUCAGGCACGCUUGUUUCCCUCGCUUGAUCAGGAAGAUGUCUGCAUUGCGGUUUUCUUUCGUUUCUUCCCUGUUGAGUAAGAGAGGAUACCUACAAUAGAAAACACAAGGAAGUCACUACCACCACCACCAGGACCGCUGCCUGCGUCUGUUAUCACUGUGUGUGAGGAAGCGGUGUAUUCAGAGGAGGCUUGGGGAAUCUCUGCAGUUUGGGAGCUUGUUAAACCUCUGGUUCUCCAAGAAGGAGGGUCUCAAGGCUCUUGAGUCCUGUGCAUACCGGCCCACAUGCAGCGACCAGUGCCAGAAUGCAGGAGGCGACGUA